rnacentral:rRNA from 1 species
UACGAAGGGGGCAAGCGUUGUUCGGAAUUACUGGGCGUAAAGGGCGCGUAGGCGGUUCGUUAAGUCCUGUGUGAAAUCCCCCGGCUCAACUGGGGAACUGCACAGGAAACUAGCGGGCUUGAGUUCGGGAGAGGGAAGCGGAAUUCCGGGUGUAGCGGUGAAAUGCGUAGAUAUCCGGAGGAACACCGGUGGCGAAGGCGGCUUCCUGGACCGACACUGACGCUGAGGCGCGAAAGCUAGGGGAGCAAACGGG